rnacentral:rRNA from 1 species
GAACGAGAAAGUCCGCAAGGAUGAGUACAGUGGCGUACGGGUGAGUAACACGUGGAUUAUCUACCCUUUAGUGGGGAAUACCGCUGGGAAACCGGCGACAAUACCGCAUAAGCCCGAGAGGGGAAAGCGUCUUUGUGAAAGCAGAGACGCGCUGAAGGAGGAGUCCGCGGUCGAUUAGCUAGUUGGUAGGGUAAUGGCCUACCAAGGCUGUGAUCGAUAGCCGGCCUGAGAGGGCACACGGCCACACUGGCACUGAAACACGGGCCAGACUCCCUACGGGAGGCAGCAGUGGGGAAUCUUGCACAAUGGGGGAAACCCUGAUGCAGCGACGCCGCGUGAGCGAUGAAGCCUUUCGGGGUGUAAAGCUCUUUCGGCAGGGAAGAUGAGACGGUACCUCAGAAACAGUGCGG